ensembl:lncRNA
GUUUACAUAAUGGAAAAAUCCCCAAAAGUAAUCAAAUUGAAUAAAAUGAAUUUUCUUUGUGGUUAUUGCCAGUGGUUCUUCCAUAAUGUAAACAGUAUCUUAAAUAUAAUGAAGUCUUUUGAUAGAAAGGAAUCUAUUUUCUUUCACUAUGAAAGUGAGCUAUGUAUCUUGAGGAUACUCUCUGAGGAAUUGUGGAUAUACCUGCUUUCCCUGAGCUGUUUGCCCAAUUCUGUUUGUGGCACGUCUAUGCAUUCUGUAGCAGAAUUGGUGUGAUUUAUUUAUAUUUCUUAGGGCUGAAAGCUUGGAGAGACAGGAGGAUGCGCAGCAUAUGUGUGCAGCCUUAAUAUCCAAGGUGGCCUGGAGAAGGAUAUGAGCACUACUUUAUAUUGGCAGUGGCAGGCAGAACUCAGUAUGCAAAGUACAAUGACGUUUUGUGAGUGGAGGUGAUCUGAAAAGUCACAGUUUAAUCAUAUGUUAUCAAAAUUGAAGUAUAUGCAUGGACCUAUUCUAAGAACUAAAUUAAAAUACUGUCUAAAAUCUGAUAUGUUUUCACUGCAGAGAAUGGAAGAUUUUUCGUUUUCUCCGAUUGCAUUUUUAUUUCCCAAGAAAAUUGUUACAGAACUUGCUGUCUUCUUGCAGAGGUGACACUGUGCUUCAGAAUACAGCAGGGAAUACUACUGCAUACUACUGUGGGUGUCUUUUUUAUUGAACUAGUGUGCAAGUUGAGAGCCAGCUUCACAGACUUGUCAUUGAACAUUGUGGUGCAUAUUGUUGUUCCCAGGUUGUAUAGAGGACAUUAUUGAAUAGAUCUGGAAAAUAAAUAAAUAACCCCCAACUGUGUUCAGAAGGUGUGUGUUAUGUGUGAUAAAUCAUAAACACCCUCCCUUCUUCUUGGCAGAAAAGCACCUUUGAUGUACACUAUCUACAUUAUCAGUACAUUUGCAUUCUGACGUAGUCCUCUUCAAAACAAAAUGUUCUUUAAAGUGCUUUUCCAAAACUGACCUUCACUCUUGAAACAUCUCAGUGGAGC